rnacentral:other from 1 species
GGAAGUUUUAAAGGCUCGACGUUCUUUAAGAAUGGCUCCUUUGACCCCAGCUUUCAAAUGCAAAUAUUAUUGCGCUAUGCGCACGGAGGUUUCAUUCUUAUGGAACAAGGUACUGUUAAAUGGUUCAACGCUGAUAAAGGUUACGGCUUCAUCACUUUGGAAAACGGCUCAGACGUUUUCGUUCACUUCUCUGCUAUCAACAGUGAAGGCUUCAAGACUCUUGAAGAAGGCCAACACGUAUCCCUUGAUGUAGAACAAGGCGACCGUGGCCCACAAGCUGCUAACGUUUCGGUUGUCGACUAAUUUACAUUAGCCUAAAUCGAGUUUAAAAAAGCCAUCGACGGUGUGUCGGUGGCUUUUUU